UACGUAGGGUGCAAGCGUUGUCCGGAAUUAUUGGGCGUAAAGAGCUCGUAGGCGGUCUGUCGCGUCUGCUGUGAAAACUCAGGGCUUAACCCUGAGCUUGCAGUGGGUACGGGCAGACUAGAGUGCGGUAGGGGAGACUGGAAUUCCUGGUGUAGCGGUGAAAUGCGCAGAUAUCAGGAGGAACACCGGUGGCGAAGGCGGGGUCUCUGGGCAACAACUGACGCUGAGGAGCGAAAGCGUGGGGAGCGAACAGG
rnacentral:rRNA from 1 species